AUACGUAGGGGGCGAGCGUUGUACGGAUUUACUGGGCGUAAAGGGUGAGUAGGCGGUUAUAUGUGUCAGAUGUAAAAGGCUAUGGCUUAACCAUAGUUAGGAUUUGAAACUGUAUGACUGGAGUGCAGGCAAGGGAAGUGGAAUUCCCAGGGUAGCGGGGGAAUGCGUAGAGAUUGGGAGGAACACCAGUGGCGAAGGCGACUUACUGGGCCGUAACUGACGCUGAGGCGCGAAAGCGUGGGGAGCGAACAGGAUUAGAUACCCUGGUAGUCCACGCGGUAAACGAUGAAUGCUAGGUGUUGCGGGUAUCGACCCCUGCAGUGCCGGAGUAAACACAAUAAGCAUUCCGCCUGGGGAGUACGGCCGCAAGGUUGAAACUCAAAGGAAUUGACGGGG
rnacentral:rRNA from 1 species